GGCCCCGUAGCUCAGCUGGAUAGAGCACCGGACUUCUAAUCCGACGGUCGCAGGUUCGAAUCCUGCCGGGGUCG
rnacentral:tRNA from 1 species